CCACAACCGCGCAUGCGCUCAUCGGUGCAGUCGCCUCAGCAGCACAUCCUGCAGCAUGACUUCUUUAGUCGAGGAAACUGAGGUAAAACUGAGGAAAACAAACGAUUAUCUGCUGAAAUUAAAGUGAACUGGAGUCGACAGUGAUCAGACUAAGUAACAAAGUUACGGUUUAACUAAAAAAAAAAAAUACAAAAUAAGACAUUAAUCAUAAAGAGCUGCUGUGAGACUGACUGAACAGAUUCAACAAGACAUCAACAAUCAGGUGAUGGUUUCAGAGGUCAGAUAUCUUCAUCAGUUUGUGUCUGUAGUCUCUAUCAACAUCUCUUAUAAAGAUGCAGAACACCGAAAUUGCCGCUACAAUAAUCAGAUAUCCAGCAGCAGCCCCAGAGAUAUAAUCUAAGAACAGGUCCAAUGUUUACACUUUAUUUUACAGUAUCACCAUUAAACAUGUUACAUGUACUUACUAUAGUAAUAACAGUAAAUUAGGUAUAAUUACAUGCAAAUAACCUUGAAUCAAACACUAAACUUAAAGUAAGUAUA